AUUGAACGCUGGCGGCAGGCCUAACACAUGCAAGUCGAGCGGAUGAAGGGAGCUUGCUCCUGGAUUCAGCGGCGGACGGGUGAGUAAUGCCUAGGAAUCUGCCUGGUAGUGGGGGAUAACGUCCGGAAACGGGCGCUAAUACCGCAUACGUCCUGAGGGAGAAAGUGGGGGGGUUUGGGACCGUCGCUUCGGUUGGGGACGUAGUCGGGUUUGGUUAGUUGGUGGGUUAAGGGCUUUCUAAGCCACGAAUCGGUAACUGGCCGGAGAGAAUGAUCGGUCACACUGGAACGGAGACACGGUCCAGACUCCUACGGGAGGCAGCAGUGGGGAAUAUUGGACAAUGGGCGAAAGCCUGAUCCAGCCAGGCCGCGUGUGUGAAGAAGGUCUUCGGAUUGUAAAGCACUUUAAGUUGGGAGGAAGGGCAGUAAGUUAAUACCUUGCUGUUUUGACGGUACCAACAGAAUAAGCACCGGCUAACUUCGUG
rnacentral:rRNA from 1 species